AAGUCGUAACAAGGUUUCCGUAGGUGAACCUGCGGAAGGAUCAUUAUAGAGGUUUAUCCUUAUUUUGUGAAUUUUAUAUCUGGUGUGUAUGUUUUUCGUGAGAACGAGUGCGGAGCACGAGUUGACAUCAUUUUCGAAAAGCAAUGAGUUGAACCAUUCGUUCAACAGUACACAAUACAUAUGCACCAAACAUUUUAUACCAAAUUUCUGUCUGAAUAAAACGAAAUGAAAAAC
rnacentral:misc_RNA from 1 species